rnacentral:rRNA from 1 species
AUUGAACGCUGGCGGAAUGCUUUACACAUGCAAGGUCGAACGGUAGAGGGGGCAACCCCUCGAGAGUGGCGAACGGGUGAGUAAUAUAUCGGAACGUGCCCAGUCGUGGGGGAUAACGUAGCGAAAGUUACGCUAAUACCGCAUACGAUCUAAGGAUGAAAGCGGGGGAUCGCAAGACCUCGCGCGAAUUGGAGCGGCCGAUAUCAGAUUAGGUAGUUGGUGGGGUAAAGGCUCACCAAGCCAACGAUCUGUAGCUGGUCUGAGAGGACGACCAGCCACACUGGAACCUGAGACACGGUCCAGACUCCUACGGAGGCAGCAGUGGGAAUUUGGAC